CCUACGGGGGGCUGCAGUGGGGAAUAUUGGACAAUGGGCGAAAGCCUGAUCCAGCCAUGCCGCGUGUGUGAAGAAGGCCUUCGGGUUGUAAAGCACUUUCAGUGGGGAAGAAAGCCUUGGGGCUAAUACCCUCGAGGAAGGACAUCACCCACAGAAGAAGCACCGGCUAACUCACGUGCCAGCAGCCGCGGUAAUACGGAGGGUGCGAGCGUUAAUCGGAAUUACUGGGCGUAAAGCGCGCGUAGGCGGUCUGAUAAGCCGGUUGUGAAAGCCCCGGGCUCAACCUGGGAACGGCAUCCGGAACUGUCAGGCUAGAGUGCAGGAGAGGAAGGUAGAAUUCCCGGUGUAGCGGUGAAAUGCGUAGAGAUCGGGAGGAAUACCAGUGGCGAAGGCGGCCUUCUGGACUGACACUGACGCUGAGGUGCGAAAGCGUGGGUAGCAAACAGGAUUAGAUACCCCAGUAGUC
rnacentral:rRNA from 1 species